ensembl:processed_transcript
GGCAGUCACGCUUUCUCUGAGACCCUGAGAUCCUGGUGUGACCAAGCUUCUGGGAUGCUGGGAUCCUGGAAUCCUAAGAUCCUGGGCAUGUUAAAGCGCCUGGAAAUGGUACCUCCUCUGGAGACCAAGGGGCUGUCUGCUGUGUUCAAAAUCAAGCUGCAUAUCUAACAGAUGAGUGUUGAUCUCUGUUACACUAAAGUGUAUGUAUGCACAUGAAUGCAGGCACUCAUGGGGACCAAAAGAGGAAUACUUCGUGCCAGCAGAAGAAUCCAGCCUCUGCGACAACCAUAGAAAUGUGCUGUUCUUUAAUCGCUGGCUGACUCAGUUGUGGUGAACACCAGAGGAACAAGCUUUUUGGUUUAAGUUCUUUCUGUGUCUUUGGGUGGGCCAUCUUGUGUGUGUGGGCAAAUGGCAACAUGCAGUCAGGGUGGCUGUACAGGUGGCCCUUGGAGAAAGGACAGCUGUAAAUGCCCCCACCCCCACCCCGUUUGCAGAAAGCCAAGUUACUUCUUUCGUUUGGAGAAAAUGUAGCAAUUACUUGAAAUUA